ACUCAAAGGAAUUGACGGGGGCCCGCACAAGCGGUGGAGCAUGCGGUUUAAUUCGAUGCAACGCGAAGAACCUUACCUACUCUUGACAUCCAUGGAACCUGACCGAGAGGUCGGGGUGCCUUCGGGAACCGUGAGACAGGUGCUGCAUGGCUGUCGUCAGCUCGUGUCGUGAGAUGUUGGGUUAAGUCCCGUAACGAGCGCAACCCUUGCCCUUAGUUGCCAACAGGUAAAGCUGGGAACUCUAGGGGGACUGCCGGUGAUAAACUGGAGGAAGGCGGGGACGAUGUCAAGUCAUCAUGGCCCUUACGAGUAGGGCUACACGCGUGCUACAAUGGUUGGUACAAAGGGAUGCAGAGCCGCGAGGUGAAGCGUAUCCCAUCAAAGCCAAUCGCAGUCCGGAUCGGAGUCUGCAACUCGACUCCGUGAAGUUGGAAUCGCUAGUAAUCGUAGAUCAGAACGCUACGGUGAAUACGUUCCCGGGCCUUGUACACACCGCCCGU
rnacentral:rRNA from 1 species